rnacentral:RNase_P_RNA from 1 species
GCGGGGGAAUGCUCGGUCGCGCCCUGGUGUGAAUCAGGGUGAGGAAAGUCCGGGCACCGCAGGGCAGGAUGCCAGCUAACGGCUGGUCGGCGAGUCCAGCGCCCACGCGCGCACCACGCGCGCGGGAAGGCGGCGAAGCCGAAGGACAGUGCCACAGAAACCAGACCGCCUGCCGCGUGACGCCCGUGGUGCCGGGCGCGGCAGGUCAGGGUGAAACGGUGCGGUAAGAGCGCACCAGAUUCCCGGGAGACCGGGAGUGCUGGUAAACCCCAUCCGGUGCAAGACCCGACAGUACGGCAGGGUGGCCCGCCCGUCAUGACCGUCAGGAUGGUCGCUUGAGGCGCGUGGUGACACGCGUCCCAGAGAGAUGACCGCGCAGCUGCGAAAGCGGCGGACAGAACCCGGCUUACAGUUCCCCCGCACCA